rnacentral:lncRNA from 1 species
AUGCAAUCAUCCAACUUAAUAACUUGUGGAAAAACUAAGGAUUAAUUAGUGCAAUUCACGGUUAAUUUGGGGCGUUGAGUAUUUAUAAUUUAUUGGAAGAACAACUGAAAAUCGUUUUGUUUGCAAGUGUGACAUGUGUGGAGAAGAACCUCCUAACUAACCUUUUAUCCAUCCUUUUCAUCCAAAAACGUUCUACAAUCUGCUUAGUUUUAAGUUUCUGUUUUGUUUUCAAUUUUCGUCCAAAACAAAUCCUCCUUUAUUUUGAAGUCUUAGAUUAGUUAGAAUAUGUUUUGAUUUGUGUUUCUAAGUGUUUUGAUUCAAGUUUUCACCCAAAUUCGUCCAAGUUCUUGUUAGGUUCUCAAAACUGCCCAGAAAGUGGUUUUAGGCAGUUUUGAGUCAUUAGGUUGCUGUUUUGAGUUUUAUGUUUGUUCAAGUGUUUUAAACUUUAGUUUUGCAUUCUUUGAGUCUAGUUUAGUGUUUUAAACUUUGUUUUUAUGUUUUUAAGUCAGUUUUCAAGUGUUUAGCAAUCCCUCCUAAUCCCCGGUCUAGAACGAUCCCUACUUACAUCUUUACUACAAUUUGACAAAAAGAGGGUUUAAUUUGUGUGCUUAUCUAUUUCGCACCAAAUUUUUGGCGCCGUUGCCGGGGAUUAGCAAUUUUGCUAAUCCCUUGGAUUGUUUUUGUUUCUUUUAUUUCACUUUGUUUCUGACUUUGUUUAAGUUUCUGACCUAAUUUUGUUUCUUGUUUCUUAGGUACUAAUGUAUGACUAGAAGCUCUCAACCGAUUCGUGCAAACAUCUUGGAUUUUGACGACGAUUUUGAGAGGAAUUUAAGAAGAGCUAGAAACCAGCAAGAACACCAUCCACCCAAUUCCGAAUCUGACCUUGAAGAAAACGUACAAGAAGAGGAGGAGGAAGCCACGGCAGGGAUAUUUGAAGAAGUCCAAGGCAUGGCCAUGGACAAUCGUACACUCAAGGAGCUUUCCGCCUCGGGUUUGGAUAAUGCCGCACCCUUGUGCAUCCAAUACCCCGUGGCUGCCCAAGGUAAGACGGACGAGUUUGAAUUAAAGUCAAGUUUGCUUCAUCAUAUUCCUAAAUACCAUGGCUUGUCCAUGGAAGAUCCUAACAAACAUUUGAAAGAAUUUGAAAGUAGUUUGCUCUAGUAUGACUCCCGUCAAUGUUGACGGAAAUAUCUUGAAGAUGAAGGCUUUUCCAUUCUCUUUGAUGGAUAAAGCCAAGGAUUGGUUAUACGAGUUAGCUCCCGGCACUGUCACUUCUUGGGAGAGUAUGAAGAGAGCGUUCUUGGAGAAGUUCUUUCCAACUUCUCGCAUCAAUCCUCCUACGCAAAAAGAUAAGCGGAAUUUAGCAAGAAGAAGGUGAGUCUUUUCCUACAUAUUAUGAACGAUUUAAAUCACUUGUUGCUUCUUGUCCACAGCAUCAGAUGAAGGAGGAAUUGCUCUUGCAAUAUUUCUACGAGGGCCUCCUACCUCUAGAACGUCAAAUGCUUGAUGCUUCGGCGGGGGAGCAUUGGUGGAUAAAACACCCAUGGCUGCCAAGGUCUUGAUUGCUAAUAGAGCGUUGAACGCUCAACAGUACGAGGGUGUAGGCCAAAGAGGACCCUCACGGCACCAAGUACAUGAGGUAAGUGCGACUUCCGAUCUUCAUUCACAAUUGGCUAAUCUUACUUCUAUUGUUUCACAGAUGGCCGAGGGAAUGAAGAUGCAAGGACCUGUGGUAUGUGGCCUAUGUUCUAUCCAAGGACAUGUCUCCGAAAAAUGUCCUCAACUCAUCGAGAAUGGCGGAUGGGAGAGUGCGAAUGCCAUUGGGUUUUAAAGCCAAAAUUAGUCAAGACACGAUCCAUACUCCUCCACGUAUAAUCCGGGGUGGCGAGACCACCCAAAUUUCAAGUGGAGGGAUCCCCAACAACCUCAAAACCAAGGAGGCUUUAGGCAACAACCCCCGGGGUUCUUUCCCAAAACCUACGGCCCACCCCAAAAUCAAGCCCAAUCCGGCCCAAGUGCCUCAGGUACAUCUCUUGACAAUGAUGCACUUCUUAAGAUACUAACUAAGUUAUCUAAUGGGCAGGAAGAUCAAGCUAAGGCUAUGCAAAACCAAGAUAAAAGGGUGGAUCAACUUGAGAAACAAAUUGGGCAGAUUGCCGAGUUUGUAGGUAAGUUUCGAGAUCCCGGACAACUUCCUAGUGCCACCAUACCUUGUGCCGCUGCAAGAAGGAAGAAGGAGUGCUCUUGAAUGUGCUUGCUAGUCUAUUGCAGAUUGCUGGAACUUUUAGGUGUAAUCUUUCUUAUGUUUUCAAUGUUUCAAUUCAAUAAACUUUGUGUUGUGAGUAUGAGGAACUAAACCCCCUUAGUUGGGGGGUGAUUCGAAACCAUGUACAUGCUUGCAAUAUGAUUUGAUUACAUUCAGUUGUUAUUUCAUAAGUUGUGGAUUCAAUUCGUUCAUCUACUUGAUUGAUAACUCAUUUGUGUAUGUUGAUUGAGAGUGCACGCUUAGUUUUCAUGCAUGAAUAUGAUGCUAGAUUAUGAGGGAGUUUCACCUAAUAGUUUACAAUCUUAUAAUCACAAGUAGUGAAGGUCGCUUGAAAACGAUCGCGUUGAAUGAAUUCUUGGCACUAGUUUCAUGCUCAUCAUAGUGACGAAUGCCUCAUCAACAACUUUAUAGUUCUCAUUUGUGCUUCAUGAUUCUUGAUUGUAUCUUUAUUGUGCUCAUUACGUAAGGAACCUUUGAGGAAUGCUUUGAAUUGUUGUAUGCGUUUUCCCAUCCAAUUCAUUAACUUAAGGAGAACUUGAAGGUUAAUUUAAGCGUAUCUAAUUAAUUUGGGGUGUUGAGUUUCAUAAUUUAUUGGAAGAACAAUUGAAAAUCGUUUUGUUUGCAAGUGUGACAUGUGUGGAGAAGAACCUCCUAACUAGCCUUUUAUCCAUCCUUUUCAUCCAAAAACGUCUUACAAUCUGUUUUGUUUUCAAAUUUCGUCCAAAACAAAUCCCCCUUUAUUUUGAAGUCUUAGAUUAGUUAGAAAGUGUUUUGAUUUGUGUUUCUAAGUGUUUUGAUCCAAGUUUUCAUCCAACUUCGUCCAAGUUCUUGUUAGGUUCUCAAAACUGCCCAGAAAGUGGUUUUUAGGCAGUUUUGAGUCAUUAGGUUGCUGUUUUGAGUUUUAUGUUUGUUUAAGUGUUUUAACUUUUAAUUUUACGUUCUUUGAGUCUAGUUUAGUGUUUUAAACUUCGUUUUUACGUUAUUGAGUUAGUUUUCAAGAGUUUAGCAAUCCCUCCUAAUCCCCGGUUUAGAACGAUCCCUACUUACAUCUUUACUACAAUUUGACAAAAGAGGGUUUAAUUUGUGUGCUUAUCUAUUUACGCAUCAAAUUUUUGGUGCCGUUGCCGGGGAUUAGCAAUUUUGCUAAUCCCUUGGAUUGUUUUUGUUUCUUUUAUUUUACUUUGCUUCAGAUUUUAUUUUAGUUUCUGACCUAUUUUGUUUCUUGUUUCUUAGGUACUAGUUUAUGACUAGAAGCUCUCAAACGGUUCGUGCAAACAUCUUGGACUUUGACGACGACUUUGAGAGGAAUUUGAGAAGAGCGAGAAACCAGCAAGAACACAAUUCACCCAAUUCCGAAUCUGACCUUGAAGAAAACGUACAAGAAGA